GGCCGCCGCGCUGGGGCUUGGAAUAGUUCGCUGCUAACGUUCCGCCUGCGGUUUGUUUUGUUCUGUUUUUAUAGACAGCGGCAUUACAUAACCGCGUACGGAGAGCGGCCGCGGUUACGCGAUGCAGAUGAGCGGCGGCGUCGAUUCGGCAGAUCGCCCUGCGCGCGUGUGAGGGCAGCGCGGCCGUGCGCAUUCAGCAGGGAUUACAUGUUUGCUGAGUUACUGAUUCAGAGGCACAGUUCAGCAAAGUGCCGUUUUAGAAGAAUAGCUUCUGCCCAAGAAUUAGAAUUGUUGGAAUAAUAUGCGAACAGGAAGAGUUUGGCCUUCAAUUCAAUUAAACUGCCA
rnacentral:lncRNA from 1 species